rnacentral:lncRNA from 1 species
CCCGGGGGGCCGGCCUCGCCCGGCACGCCGGCGUCGCCGGGAGGACCGCGCGCGCCCAACGGGCCCGUAGGUCCUUGUGCACCCGUCGGCCCUGGCUGACCAGGGACGCUUAUUGUGAUGCAGGCAGGCAGGCACCCACCGACAGCGCGCGGCGCCAUGCAUUCGCCAGCCGGCGCCGUUGUCGGUGCGGCGUGGUCCGCCAUGGUGGACCUUUUUUCUUUUUCUUUCUUUCUUUUUUUUUAAACUUUUUAUGUUUCGGUGGAUUUCUUGUCUCCUUUGCCAAAGAAAUGGACCACUCCGGGCGGUGCCUGCGACAAGGCACAAACAACGGCAAACACACAAAGACACCAGG